CAGUCGCCGCGGUAAUACGAAGGGGGCUAGCGUUGUUCGGAUUUACUGGGCGUAAAGGGUGCGUAGGCGGAUUGUUAAGUCAGGGGUGAAAUCCCGAGGCUCAACCUCGGAACUGCCUUUGAUACUGGCGAUCUUGAGUCCGGGAGAGGUGAGUGGAACUGCGAGUGUAGAGGUGAAAUUCGUAGAUAUUCGCAAGAACACCGGUGGCGAAGGCGGCUCACUGGCCCGGAACUGACGCUGAGGCACGAAAGCGUGGGGAGCAAACAGGAUUAGAUACCCCCGUAGUCCCUGUCUCUUAUAC
rnacentral:rRNA from 1 species